rnacentral:misc_RNA from 1 species
GUCUCCUCCCACCAAAGCCUUCGCCACCGCCGCUGGCAUGCUCCGCGCUCGCCUCAGAUCCUCGAUCCGCACUCGGAGCGGCGGCGAGGGCGCCGGACGGUGGACCAGUCCUGGCACCCAGGAGAGGCCGAACGGUUACCUCUUCAACCGUACACCGCCGCCGCCGGGGCAGUCGCGGGAGUGGGAGGACUGGGAGCUUCCCUGCUACAUCACUUCCUUCCUCACCAUUGUCAUCCUCGGCGUCGGGCUCAAUGCGAAGCCGGAUCUCACGAUCGAGACCUGGGCGCGGGAGAAGGCUCUGGAGCGUAUGCAGCAGAAGCAGAUCGCCGCCGAGUCUGAGUGAUCGGCGGAUCUACCUCUCCGGUACACUGCUUUUAGGUUUUCUGGUUGAAUAAUGUUUGAUUCUAGACGAGGGCUUGAAAACUGAAUCCUUGUAUUUUCAAGAGUUU